rnacentral:rRNA from 1 species
GAGUUUGAUCAUGGCUCAGAGCGAACGUUAGCGGCGCGCUUAACACAUGCAAGUCGCACGAGAAAGGGCCUCGGCCCCGGUAAAGUGGCGCACGGGUGCGUAACACGUAGGCAAUCUUCCCUUGAGCGGGGGAUAACGUUUCGAAAGAGACGCUAAUACCGCAUAAGACCACGACCGGUUCGCCGGUUGCGGUCAAAGCUGGCCUCUUCAUGAAAGCUAGCACUUAAGGACGAGCCUGCGGCCCAUCAUGCUAGUUGGUAGGGUAACGGCCUACCAAGGCGAAGACGGGUAGCUGGUCUGAGAGGAUGAUCAGCCACACUGGAACUGAAACACGGUCCAGACUCCUACGGGAGGCAGCAGUGGGGAAUAUUGGACAAUGGGCGAAAGCCUGAUCCAGCGACGCCGCGUGAGUGAUGAAGGCCUUC